rnacentral:rRNA from 1 species
UACAGAGGGUGCGAGCGUUGUCCGGAAUCACUGGGCGUAAAGGGCGCGUAGGUGGCGCUCCAAGUCCGUGGUGAAAGCUCGAUGCUCAACAUCGAGUCGGCCACGGAGACUGGAGGGCUCGAGCACUGUAGGGGCAGAUGGAAUUCCGGGUGUAGCGGUGGAAUGCGUAGAGAUCCGGAAGAACACCGGUGGCGAAGGCGGUCUGCUGGGCAGUAGCUGACACUGAUGCGCGACAGCGUGGGGAGCAAACAGG